rnacentral:lncRNA from 1 species
GAAUUCAAUCUUCGCAGAGUUAACACUCCUCCAUCGAAUGAGAUAAAGCUCAAUGGCAAUCACAACUAGAUCUGGGACCCCUUCUCCCUCGGGCUAAAGCCCUGAUAUAUAUCCGAUCUUAUGGUGUGCUAAAGAGUGGGCCUAUCAGUCCCGACGGUGAGGGCUAUGGUACCAGGAGGAUUUAGCCCAGAGGAGAAGAGAGGAUCCGAUUCUCGCUUUGCCCCCGAAAGAGUCAGAAUCCAUUCUGACUUCCAGGCCAUUUCAUUCAACUGAAGCUAAUUCUACUGCUACUGUAAGAGUUCCGGGUGAAGUUCAUAGAAAGAGGUUUUCAUA